rnacentral:rRNA from 1 species
GGGGAAAAGCUCAAAUUUUAAAUCUGCUAGGUUUUACCUGUCAGAAUUGUAAUUUGAAGAAGCGUUUUCCGCGUCUCGGUUGACCAAAAUCCUUUGGGAUGAGGUAUCAUGGAGGGUGAGAAUCCCGU